CUAGUCUGUAAGCAAAGCAGACGAAGGCAUCGAGGUUGCGGCCUGCCAUCAUUGUUAUUUUGCUUAAGGGACUGAAUAUGUUUCAUGUAGAAAUAUUAGCAUUUCCCUUAUAUCUACCAAAACUGCUUGUUUCACAGACUGCAGUUUUGUUUUGAUCCGAUGUGGUGUGCAAAUAAAACCGUAUCGGCAAUGGGUUGUGGGGCAUUAACAUUUGUAACUCUAAUUUUGUUUUGACAGACUGCGAAAAGAACGUUGAGAACAUCACCACUCUACAGGAAGACACAGUCCAGUAAUGGGUGUCAGAAGUUCAGUAGUGAACGACAGGCAGUACUGAUGCAUUUACUGAGACGGGACGUGAGGGCCUACUCUGCGUGCUCAGAGUUCAAGCCCAGCAGGCUGCAGCGGGCCUGACAUAUUCUGGAACAGCAGCACAGUCUUUGGAUGACUCCUCUGAAGAUGAAAACAUGGCGAGUUCUUCUCAAGAGAAGCAGUACAGGUGUGCCUCAGCUCCACGGUCCCUCCUGCAGCCUCCGCUCCUGAUGCUAACCUCAUGUCUCCAUCACACCAAGCAGCAGACCUGGAUUGACAGACCUUUCUCCAGAGCUGCCCCCUCCCUCUGAAACCCCCCUCUCCAAAACACUAUUUGUGGUGUUUUUAAAGUAUUUUUUGCAUGAGAAUUGUUGAUC